rnacentral:rRNA from 1 species
GAUGAACGCUAGCUACAGGCUUAACACAUGCAAGUCGAGGGGUAACGAGAGGAAAGCUUGCUUUCCUUGUCGACGACCGGCGCACGGGUGAGUAACGCGUAUCCAACCUGCCCCCAACUAGGGAAUAACCUUGCGAAAGUAAGACUAAUACCCUAUAAUUUCCUCAGAUGUCAUCUGACGAGGAAUAAAGAUUUAUCGGUUGUGGAUGGGGAUGCGUCUGAUUAGCUUGUUGGCGGGGUAACGGCCCACCAAGGCAACGAUCAGUAGGGGUUCUGAGAGGAAGGUCCCCCACAUUGGAACUGAGACACGGUCCAAACUGCUACGGGGGGCAGCAGUGAGGAAUAUUGGUCAAUGGGCGGAAGCCUGAACCAGCCAAGUAGCGUGCAGGAUGACGGCCCUAUGGGUUGUAAACUGCUUUUAUACAGGGAUAAAGUUAGCCACGUGUGGUUAUUUGUAGGUACUGUAUGAAUAAGGACCGGCUAAUUCCGUGCCAGCCGCCGCGGUAA